CCUACGGGGGGCUGCAGUGAGGAAUAUUGGUCAAUGGACGAGAGUCUGAACCAGCCAAGUAGCGUGAAGGAUGACUGCCCUAUGGGUUGUAAACUUCUUUUAUAUGGGAAUAAAAUGUUCCACGUGUGGGCUUUUGUAUGUACCAUAUGAAUAAGGAUCGGCUAACUCCGUGCCAGCAGCCGCGGUAAUACGGAGGAUCCGAGCGUUAUCCGGAUUUAUUGGGUUUAAGGGGAGCGUAGCUGGAUUUUUAAGUCAGUUGUGAAAGUUUGCGGCUCAACCGUAAAAGUGCAGUUGAAACUGGCAGUCUUGAGUACAGUAGAGGUGGGCGGAAUUCGUGGUGUAGCGGUGAAAUGCUUAGAUAUCACGAAGAACUCCGAUUGCGAAGGCAGCUCACUGGACUGUAACUGACGCUGAGGCUCGAAAGUGUGGGUAUCAAACAGGAUUAGAUACCCCAGUAGUC
rnacentral:rRNA from 1 species